rnacentral:rRNA from 1 species
AUUGAACGCUGGCGGCAGGCCUAACACAUGCAAGUCGAGCGGAGCGGCGGACGGGUGAGUAAUGCCUAUGAAUCUGCCUGGUAGUGGGGGAUAACGUCCGGAAACGGGCGCUAAUACCGCAUACUAUCAGAUUAGCCUAGGUCGGAUUAGCUGGUUGGUGGGGUAAAGGCCUACCAACGCGACGAUCCGUAACUGGUCUGAGAGGAUGAUCAGUCACACUGGAACUGAGACACGGGCCAGACUCCUACGGGAGGCAGCAGGGGGGAAUAUUGGAUAAUGGGCGAAAGCCUGAUCCAGCCAUGCCGCGUGUGUGAAGAAGGUCUUCGGAUUGUAAAGCACUUUAAGUUGGGAGGCGUUACCAACAGAAUAAGCACCGGCUAACUUCGUGCCAGCAGCCGCGGUAAUUC